rfam:Schistosoma margrebowiei strain Zambia genome assembly, scaffold: SMRZ_scaffold0000339
AUCCAGCUGACGAGUCUCAAAUAAGACGAAACGCGCGUAAUGGAU